rnacentral:rRNA from 1 species
AUUGAACGCUGGCGGCAGGCCUAACACAUGCAAGUCGAGCGGAUGAAGGGAGCUUGCUCCUGGAUUCAGCGGCGGACGGGUGAGUAAUGCCUAGGAAUCUGCCUGGUAGUGGGGGAUAACGUCCGGAAACGGGCGCUAAUACCGCAUACGUCCUGAGGGAGAAAGUGGGGGAUCUUCGGACCUCACGCUAUCAGAUGAGCCUAGGUCGGAUUAGCUAGUUGGUGGGGUAAAGGCCUACCAAGGCGACGAUCCGUAACUGGUCUGAGAGGAUGAUCAGUCACACUGGAACUGAGACACGGUACAGACUCCUACGGGAGGCAGCAGUGGGGAAUAUUGGACGCUGGGCGAAAGCCUGAUCCAGCCAUGCCGCGUGUGUGAAGAAGGUCUUCGGAUUGUAAAGCACUUUAAGUUGGGAGGAAGGGCAGUAAGUUAAUACCUUGCUGUUUUGACGUUACCAACAGAAUAAGCACCGGCUAACUUCGUG